GGUGAGUAACACGUGGGUAACCUACCUAUAAGACUCGGGAUAACUUCGGGAAACCGGAGCUAAUACCGGAUAAUAUUUCGAACCGCAUGGUUCGAUAGUGAAAGAUGGCUUUGCUAUCACUUAUAGAUGGACCUGCGCCAUAUUAGCUAGUUGGUAAG
rnacentral:rRNA from 1 species